rnacentral:rRNA from 1 species
AUUGAACGCUGGCGGCAGGCCUAACACAUGCAAGUCGAGCGAGCGGCGGACGGGUGAGUAAUGUAUGGGAAACUGCCCGAUGGAGGGGGAUAACUACUGGAAACGGUGGCUAAUACCGCAUACUAUCGGAUGAACCCAUAUGGUAUUAGCUAGUAGGUGGGGUAAAGGCUCACCUAGGCGACGAUCCCUAGCUGGUCUGAGAGGAUGAUCAGCCACACUGUGACAGGGACACGGACGAGACUCCUACGGGAGGCAGAAGUGAGGAAUAUUGCACGAUGGGCGCAAGCGGGAUGCAGCCAUGCCGCGUGAAUGAAGAAGGCCUUUGGGUUGUAAAGUACUAUCAGCGGGGAGGCGUUACCCGCAGAAGAAUCACCGGCUAACUCCGUUCCAGAAGCCGCGGUAAUAC